UCUCCGUAGGUGAACCUGCGGAGGGAUCAUUACAAGUGACCCCGGUCUAACCACCGGGAUGUUCAUAACCCUUUGUUGUCCGACUCUGUUGCCUCCGGGGCGACCCUGCCUUCGGGCGGGGGCUCCGGGUGGGCACUUCAAACUCUUGCGUAACUUUGCAGUCUGAGUAAACUUAAUUAAUAAAUUAAAACUUUUAACAACGGAUCUCUUGGUUCUG
rnacentral:misc_RNA from 1 species